rnacentral:rRNA from 1 species
GCGCCUACGGGGCGCAGCAGUGAGGAAUAUUGGUCAAUGGGCGAGAGCCUGAACCAGCCAAGUCGCGUGAGGGAGUACUGCCCUAUGGGUUGUAAACCUCUUUUGCCGGGGAGCAACGGGGUCCUUGCGAGGUCCCAAUGAGAGUACCCGGAGAAAAAGCAUCGGCUAACUCCGUGCCAGCAGCCGCGGUAAUACGGAGGAUGCGAGCGUUAUCCGGAUUUAUUGGGUUUAAAGGGUGCGUAGGCGGGCUGUUAAGUCAGCGGUCAAAUGUCGGGGCUCAACCCCGGCCUGCCGUU